AUGAGUUGUAUCAGUUGGAAUUGCCGGGGGCUUGGGAACCCCGAGGCAAUUCGUGAGCUUCGCAGCAUUGUGAAGUUGGAAGGUCCCACUCUCCUGUUUGUAAUGGAAACAAAAAUCAAAGGGAAGAGAGUUGAAGCAUUGCAAAAUCAGCUAGGGUUUGGGGGUUGCUAUGCUGUUGAUAGCAAUGGCCUAAGUGGUGGUUUGGGCCUCUUUUGGUCUAAAGAUGUA
rnacentral:rRNA from 1 species